CUACAGGAUGCACCAGUGGGGAAUAUUGGGCAAUGGGCGCAAGCCUGACCCAGCAACGCCGCGUGAGGGAAGAAGGUUUUCGGAUUGUAAACCUCUGUCCUUGGGGACGAAAAAAAUGACGGUACCCAAGGAGGAAGCUCCGGCUAACUACGUGCCAGCAGCCGCGGUAAUACGUAGGGAGCGAGCGUUGUCCGGAAUUACUGGGCGUAAAGGGUGCGUAGGCGGCGUAUUAAGUCAGGUGUGAAAUAUUCGGGCUCAACCCGAAGGGUGCAUUUGAAACUGGUAUGCUUGAGUGUGAGAGAGGAAAGUGGAAUUCCUAGUGUAGCGGUGAAAUGCGUAGAUAUUAGGAGGAACACCAGUGGCGAAGGCGACUUUCUGGCUCAUAACUGACGCUGAGGCACGAAAGCGUGGGUAGCAAACAGGAUUAGAUACCCCCGUAGUC
rnacentral:rRNA from 1 species